rnacentral:rRNA from 1 species
GAGGUGGCUAGCGUUGUUCGGAUUUACUGGGUGUAAAGGGCAUGUAGGUGGCUGGGAAAGUCCCAAUCGAAAUCCUUCGGCUCAACCGAAGAACGGGUUGGGAAACUGUCUGGCUUGAGGUUAGGAGAGGAGAACGGAAUUCCCGGUGUAAAGGUGAAAUUUGUAGAGAUCGGGAGGAACACCCGUGGCGAAGGCGGUUCUCUGGCCUAAAACUGACACUGAAAUGCGAAAGCUAGGGGAUUAACAGGAUUAGAUACCCUGGUAGUCCUAGCUGUAAACGAUGUGCACUAGGUGUACUCCGUUUAUCGGAGUGUGCCGCAGUUAACACGUUAAGUGCACCACCUGGGGACUACGGCCGCAAGGUUAAAACUCAAAGGAAUUGACGGGGACCCGCACAAGCGGUGGAGCAUGUGGUUUAAUACGACGAUACGCGUGGAACCUUACCAGGGUUUGACAUGCUGGUGGUACUUCUUCCGAAAGGAGGGAGGACCCUUUCCAGGGAGCCAGCACAGGUGUUGCAUGGCUGUCGUCAGCUCGUGUCGUGAGAUGUUGGGUUAAGUCCCGCAACGAGCGCAACCAUCGUCCUUAGUUGCUCGCUCUUUUUGGAGAAGCACUCUAAGGAGACUGCCCGUGUUUUAGCGGGAGGAAGGCGGAGAUGACGUCAAGUCAGUAUGGCCCUUACGCCCUGGGCUACACACGUGCUACAAUGGUCAGGACAAAGAGAAGCAAGGCCGCAAGGCGAAGCAAAUCUCAAAAACCUGGUCUCAGCUCGGAUUGCAGGCUGCAAUUCGCCUGCAUGAAGCUGGAAUCGCUAGUAACCGCAGAUCAGCCACGCUGCGGUGAAUACGUUCCCGGGUCUUGCACACACCGCCCGUC